UGAAUACGAGACGCUAAGGCGUCGAAGUAGUGUAUAUCAGACUUCCAAGAAAAGCUUGCACUGUCAUAGAUAAAAAAUGCCUGUACCAUAACCGACACAGGUGGGUAGGUAGAGUAUACUAAGGGGCGCGAGAUAACUCUCUCUAAGGAACUCGGCAAAAUAACUCCGUAACUUCGGGAGAAGGAGUGCCUUAUUUAUAAGGUUGCAAUAACAAGAUCCAAGCAACUGUUUAUCAAAAACACAGGUCUCCGCUAAGUCGUAAGACGAUGUAUGGGGGCUGACGCCUGCCCAGUGCCAGAAGGUUAAAGAAGUUGGUUAGCAAUUGCGAAGCUGAUAACUGAAGCCCUGGUGAACGGCGGCCGUAACUAUAACGGUCCUAAGGUAGCGAAAUUCCUUGUCGGGUAAGUUCCGACCCGCACGAAAGGCGUAAUGAUUUGGAUACUGUCUCGGAGAGGGGCUCGGUGAAAUAGACUUGUCUGUGAAGAUGCGGACUACCUGCACCAGGACAGAAAGACCCUAUGAAGCUUUACUGUAACUUGAAAUUGAAAUUGGACUUUAUUCGCGCAGCAUAGGUGGGAGGCGUUGAUUAUAAUCUUGCGGGAUUAUUGGAGCCAUCAGUGAGAUACCACUCUUGUAAUGUUAGAUUUCUAACUUUGAAUCAUUAUCUGGUCAAAGAACAGUUUCAGGCGGGCAGUUUGACUGGGGCGGUCGCCUCCUAAAUGGUAACGGAGGCGUACAAAGGUUUCCUCUGAACGGUUAGAAAUCGUAUCUAGAGUGUAAAGGCAUAAGGAAGCUUGACUGUGAGACCUACAAGUCGAGCAGGGACGAAAGUCGGUCUUAGUGAUCUGACGGUACUGAGUGGAAAGGCCGUCACUCAACGGAUAAAAGUUACUCUAGGAUAACAGGCUGAUCUCCCCCAAGAGUUCACAUCGACGGGGAGGUUUGGCACCUCGAUGUCGGCUCAUCGCAUCCUGGGGCGGUAGUACGUCCCAAGGGUUGGGCUGUUCGCCCAUGAAAGCGGUACGCGAGCUGGGUUCAGAACGUCGUGAGACAGUUCGGUCCAUAUCCGGUGUAGGCGUUAGAAUAUUGAGAGGAGCCUUCUUUAGUACGAGAGGACCGAGAAGGACAUACCUCUGGUGUACCAGUUAUCGUGCCAACGGUAAACGCUGGGUAGCUAUGUAUGGAGUGGAUAACCGCUGAAAGCAUCUAAGUGGGAAGCCCACCUC
rnacentral:rRNA from 1 species